CCUACGGGGAGCAGCAGUGGGGAAUAUUGCACAAUGGGGGAAACCCUGAUGCAGCGACGCCGCGUGGGUGACGAAGUAUUUCGGUAUGUAAAGCCCUAUCAGCAGGGAAGAAGAUGACAGUACCUGACCAAGAAGCCCCGGCUAACUACGUGCCAGCAGCCGCGGUAAUACGUAGGGGGCAAGCGUUAUCCGGAUUUACUGGGUGUAAAGGGAGCGUAGGUGGCAUGGCAAGCCAGAAGUGAAAACCCGGGGCUUAACCCCGCGGAUUGCUUUUGGAACUGUCAGGCUGGAGUGCAGGAGGGGCAGGCGGAAUUCCUGGUGUAGCGGUGAAAUGCGUAGAUAUCAGGAGGAACACCGGUGGCGAAGGCGGCCUGCUGGACUGUAACUGACACUGAGGCUCGAAAGCGUGGGGAGCAAACAGGAUUAGAUACCCCGGUAGUC
rnacentral:rRNA from 1 species